CAUGUUUCCUAUCUUGUAGGAACUGACUUUGACUUUGUUUUAAGGCCUGCAAAAAUGUGAUGAAAGGCAAAACAAAAUAAUACUGGAAUUAAAAAUUAACUCCAACAAACUCCCCCUUUUUGCCUUUCUUCACAAAACCAAUAAGCCUUUAAAUCUCCCCCGAAAAGGAUGUCUCCCCCUGCAUUUGUACUUCUUGAAAGAGCAAUUUGCAAUAUCCAGAAUUGGUGGUAGCAUAAAUCCGAGAUUUUUGGACUCCAUGUUGAAGCAACUGUUCUGAUAACAACGAGGAUCACACUCAGUGUGUCGAGUGACCGCUCUGAUACCACUUGUAAGUGUUGCUUCGUCUGGAACAA
rnacentral:lncRNA from 1 species